AAGUCGUAACAAGGUUUCCGUAGGUGAACCUGCGGAAGGAUCAUUAUGAUUGGCUUGCCGGCCUCAUGACCCUUCUACCCUUCUGCUGAACCGAUGCCCUCCGGGCGUUUUUUCAAACAUUGUGUGACGAACGUGAAAAUGAUAAUAAAAUAAAA
rnacentral:misc_RNA from 1 species